rnacentral:misc_RNA from 1 species
GAUGAAGACGCAGUGAAAUGCGAUAAGUAAUGUGAAUUGCAGAAUUCAGUGAAUCAUCGAAUCCUUGAACGCACAUUGCGCCCAUUAGUAUUCUAGUGGGCAUGCCUGUUCGAGCGUCAUUUCAACCCUUAAGCCUAGCUUAGUAUUGGGAAUCGACUUUACUGUCGUUCCUCAAAUUCAACGGCGGAUUUAUAGCAAUCUCUGAACGUAGUAAUUUUUUUUCUCGUUUUUGAAAUACUAUAAACCUCAGCCGCUAAACCCCCAAUUUCUUAUGGUUGACCUCGGAUCAGGUAGGAAUACCCGCUGAACUUAAGCAUAUCAAUAAGCGGAGGA